rnacentral:rRNA from 1 species
UACGUAGGGAGCAAGCGUUGUCCGGAAUCAUUGGGCGUAAAGCGCGCGUAGGCGGCCCUGUAAGUCCGUUGUGAAAGUCAAAGGCUCAACCUUUGAAAGCCGAUGGAUACUGCAGGGCUAGAGUCCGGAAGAGGCGAGUGGAAUUCUUGGUGUAGCGGUGAAAUGCGCAGAUAUCGGGAAGAACACCCGUGGCGAAGGCGGUUCUCUGGGACGGUACUGACGCUGAGACGCGAAAGCGUGGGAGCGAACAGG